GCCAACGGCCGGUAUGCCGAGUGUCGAGGAAAGUCCGGACUCCGCAGAGCACGGUGGUUGCUAACAGCAACCCGGGGUGACCCGCGGGCAAGUGCAACAGAAAGUAGACCGCCAGCCACUGCGGUGGUUGGUAAGGGUGAAAGGGUGCGGUAAGAGCGCACCAGCGCGGCGAGUGAUCGUCGCGGCUAGGUAAACCCCACCGGGAGCAAGGUCAAGUGGCUCCACUGCCGGUCGGUGACAACCGCGGCCUUCGGGCCGGGGCUGUCGCGGACGAACAAACGGGGGUGGGGCUGUGCCCUCAUGGGCUGCUCGUCCGCCGACGAAGGGCAGGUAGACCGCUUGAGGCGCCCAGCGAUGGAACGCCCAGAUGGAUGGCCACCUCGCCCCCGAGCGCCCUGGGCGCGCGGGGGUAGGACAGAAUCCGGCUCACAGGCCCUCUCAA
rnacentral:RNase_P_RNA from 1 species